CUGUGGGAUUAUAGGCAUGCACCACCUUGCUUUGCUGAGAAAGAGCUGCUGCAAAGAAGCCUGAUGCCCCUCCUGAAGUUGUGAUGUCAUCCACCAUUAAACUUUCGCCAAAGCCAUGCAGACAAUAGCAGCAUGCUCUUCACUCUCCAGAACGAUGACCUAAGUUUCUCUUCUUUAUGAAGCACAUCCACUCAGAGCUGGGGACCGAACCCAGGGCCUUGCGCUCCCUAGGCAAGCGCUCUUCCGCUGAGCUAAAUCCCCAACCCCCUGACUUAGAUAUUUCUACUUUGCAAUGAUGAAAGGCAGUGCCCACGCGUUCAGUGGAGGCCACCCUUCAGUUUUGAUUUUUUUCUAUUGCUUGUGGCAGAACACUUUUUCAAGGUGCUGGGCAGUAGUGGCAAGAUGUAACUUCUGGUGAGAUUGUAUGGGUUCAUAGGACGCCGAACAGUGCCAUAUACCACUAAGCUGUGAUAUUUGGUAGAAUGGAUAUUUUAGGUGCACUUGAAAAAUUACAGUGGGUUUAUCAGUCACUAUAUCGUAAGUGAAAGAGCUUCUGUCUGGUCGACUAAACUUGGACAAAGGGACAAAGGCAAACAACCCAGAAAAAGGUAGAUUUCAGUAAACACAUUGGAGCAACUAGAUGCUCACAAGCAAAACUCUGCCCAGACCCUGUGCUCUUUACUAAAGUAACUCAAAUGGGGGUGGGGGUGGGGGCACGUGGACUGUGCCACAAGAGGGACUGGCAUGGAACUGGGGAAAUAGAGCAUGUGCAAACCCCGGAAAUUUCAAAAUGCGAGACCGGCAAGAGUGGAACUAGCUUCAUCCCCAUUUCUGUUCCUGCUUCAGAGGAACCCGGCUACGAGGCUACCCCAAUCAGGAAGUCAGUCACAAGACAUACCCAGCACCUGUAACACCUCUCAUGCUAAUGUGGCAUCUCAGUAGCCCGAGCUUUCAGCCAAUGACCUUUUCCCACCUUGGAUAAUCUUACCUCCAAACUCUUAACCCUUGGUUCACCCAAAUAAACUGUACGUGUUCAAACCUACCCAGAUUAAAGAAAUACGAACAAGC
rnacentral:sRNA from 1 species